rnacentral:rRNA from 1 species
UGAGUGGCGAACGGGUGAGUAACACGUGAGUAACCUGCCCCCUUCUUCUGGAUAACCGCAUGAAAGUGUGGCUAAUACGGGAUAUUCUGGGUCUGUCGCAUGAUGGGUCUGGGAAAGAUAUUGUUUCGGUGGGGGAUGGGCUCGCGGCCUAUCAGCUUGUUGGUGGGGUGAUGGCCUACCAAGGCGGUGACGGGUAGCCGGCCUGAGAGGGUGGACGGUCACACUGGGACUGAGACACGGCCCAGACUCC